GCAUUUAUAUGGAAAUGUCUGUGACGUGUUGAUUCAGGUGCUAAUCUGUUGGUUGGUGUUACAGUUUCAUCAUUCCUGUGAGAAGUCAACAACCGCGUGCUGCUUGCGUCACGGACGGGGAAUCUGUUACAGCUAGAACGGUUACGGUGGAACUCAACAGGAGAAAAAUCACAGGAGAACACUCGGGUUCUUCGGUUCUCGCUCACCGCUCUCCGACGUCGUAAUAACGAGAAAUCCGGCGUAGGAGGAGUGAAGACGACAAACAGUGGCUGGACGCGAAGUUCCACAAUGCAACGCCGCUAAAUGACGCAGUCGCAUGGAGCCGACGGACGUAUUAGCAUGGAAGCUCACGCUUCGGAACCGGAUCUGCUCGAGCGUACAGGUUUUGCCGGUGAUGACUGUAUUUGGUGUUAAAAAGGAUAAACCAACAUAAAGACCAGAGGGCUGUCUAUGGGAGAAAUGCAAGCCAUUUUCAAGCUGAGAAAAGAAGGAAGAGGCAUUGUACAAGCAUUGGGCAUAGCCAAAACGACAAUUAGGAAUGUCCUGAAAAAGAAAGGACCCACUGGUGUACUGAACAACCAUUCAUCGAACAGGUCGGCCAAGGAAAACAACAACAGCUGAUGGCAGAAAUAUAGUGAGAGCUGUGAAAUUAAACCCAAAAACAACAGGCGGUGACAUCACCAACAUCCUUCCCAGUGCAGGGGUGAAGAUGUAGGAAAUGCUGCAGCCUAGUGGUGAAGUGACUCCAGUCCAAGACCCACCAUAGCUCGUCUGCAUUGUUUUAUAUUUAUCCCACUCCUAAUAAACCUGAUCCGGCUCUCAAGAAUGCUGGAUAGAGCACAUGGACUGGACCAUUGGCUACACCUUCAUAAACAUCCACGUCCAAAAAGCCAAACAUAUCCUGCUUAGUCAAUUUUCCAGCACUUGUUUUUUCUUUCUUUCUUUCCUUCCAGAUACCAGACAGUUAAAUCACAAGCUUCCAGACACAGAGACGAUUUUUUCCCUGACAAGCUAUAACCCUGUAGCACUACCCAGGCACAACAACUUUUAUUUAUAGCCACUGCAAUUGCGAUUAGACUUCCUGAAGUUUAAAGUGAAAUAUGCAGAUAUUGCAGCUACAGCGGUGAUUAAUAUUUACGGUAGUGUUCAAUCUGUAGAUUCUGUAUAAACUGCAUUUUAUAUAUGCAGAAUGUUAUACAUUCUUAUUUUUAACCGCGUGCACUAUUUACUGCUUGGACUAAUUACUUAUUCAGCCUUCUUUCUAACACUGUUUUGUUGGUAUGGUGGCUUCGUGGUUAGCACAUUUGCCUCAUACCUCAAGGGGUUGGGGUUCGAAUCCCUCCCGAAUCCCUCCUGUGCACGUGAAGUUUGCAUGUUUUCCUCAUUCAUGGUGGGGGGGGAUUGGUUCCUCCGGGUACUCCAGUUUCCUCCCCCAGUCCAAAGACAUGUGUUGUAGGCUGAUUGGCGUCUCUAAAUUGUCCGUAGUGUGUGAAUGUGUGUGAUUGUGCCCUGCGAUGGGUUGACACCCCAUCCAGGGUGUCCGAGUUCCCUGGGAUAGACUCCAGGCUCCCCGCGACCCUGUGUAGGAUAAGUGGCAUGGAAAAUGGACGGAUGGAUGGAGAAUGCUGCUGCUGUAAAGAUGUGCUUUUGUCAUUUUUCUUUGCUGGCAUCCUCUCAACAUCUUAUAAGUCUUUCCAUUCCUUAACAGCCCGUCCUUUGCAUUCAUACUCCAUCCUCAUACAUCAGCUGAUGUACAGGAGCUUUGUCCCUUUAUUGUGAUUAGUACAAUAAGCCAGUGGGAGUCUAUACGUUUUUUUUUUCAAAGGAAAAUCAAGCGUGCAAAUUGAAAAGGAGAUUGCUUCAAAUAGAUUGUACCUGCUACUACAGGUGUCUACAAAGUUUGCUCUCUGUGAAACCCUUAUUAAGCACAAGGUCACAUGUGGUAUAGGUAUUACAUCAAAUUCAAUGACGCCCUGUGGAAAAUGAUGGUGGUAGUGAAGUGGUGUUCAGAGCUGGAGAUGAACUGCAUGGUGUUUCCAUCAGUGGAACAAUUAAAGUAUAAUUGAAAUAACCAGCUCAGAUGCAGCGCAGACAACAAAUAAGAUG